UUGUGCUGGCUGUAGCCAUAUACAAACGUCAGAUAACGGCUCAUUCCAUCAACUAUAUUUAGCAAACUACUGUAGCAUAAUAGCCGCCAGUGCAAUGACCCGAGUGGGAAUAUUGUUUUUAUUGUAUACAUUUGCAAACAUUUCUAAAAACCUGUUUUUUGCUUUGACAUAAGGCUGUAAUGUAACAAAACGUGUAAAAGGUUAAGGGGUCUGAAUACUUUCCGAAUGCAUGGUAAGUCUAAAGAGUUACGGUGAACGUACACUAGAUAGAGGCACGCCGCUUAGGCCGAUCAUUGUGGGCGUGCUGGCAGCAUAUGGCAGCAGGUUCGAUCGUGCGUCAAGAAUUCAGCAUAGCAAGUUUGUAUGAAGGUCUGGUUAUUAAAUGAGUACAUAGUUCAAUAGUAAUAUCCUCUAAAACGCUCCGGUGACAAACAGACAGUUUCCAAUUGUCCACAUGACUGGUAGAACCUAUUCAAGUAAGUUUUCUGUCCUCAGAUAAAGAGAGCUAUGAAACCUGUCUACAUAUGAAGAGGUCCCAAUGAAGGGCUUGGGAUUGUGUUGUGCAGUAAGCAGGCUCAAGUGUAUAACUGUGGCUCCUUCCACCUUCAAAGAAUAGGCAAGAGGGCCAACCAUGGAGAAUAGUAAGACACUUCAUUAUUUCUAUAACUACGCUAUAUUGUUUGUUCUUGUGUUUCCGUUCAUGUUUUUCAGCAUAAAGUACUCUGCAGCCACUUAGUGUGGCCACCAGGUGAGGCCACACACUCAGAUUCCUGUUGAACACUCACUUAAACUACCUUAUUUUCUCAAUAAACACUCUCCUUCACUUCAUCCCUCUCUCCUCCCUAAAUCCUCUAGGUUAUAUCAGCUGUGUCGGUAAACCCCUCCCGCAUCUGAAACUGGCUACAUAGAGGGCACUUUGUCAGGUCAACAAGAAGUAUUAUUAAAGAGAUGCUUUACAUUGAAAUACAGAUAGAGAUGUAGUAGUCCCAGAGUUAAUGAUCCAAGGUCAGUUUUGCAUUGAACCUGAUGAUUAUGAUGACUAACAAUGUUAGAAUAAAAAUAAAAACAAGGUUUAAACAUGCUAUCUGUCUCGUCUGCAGAUAUGUUUUGAUGUGAGACAGGAUGCCAACUCCCAGUCCCAUCAUCGCAACCUCAUCCGCUCUUAAGAUAACCUUCGGGCCGACUGAUGAACUGAGAGAAUAUUUGGGUAGCAAUGAUUCAUUAAUCAUAUGCUGCCUUCCCUUCUCCUAUUUUCUUACCUCUUUCCCUUUGUCUGUUACACCUCUCACCACCGCUUUCUUCCUGUUUUUAGAAUGCACAACAGAUGUGUAUUGAAGUACAGAUCGAACCUGUAUUUAUAAUAUUACAAAUAUAUUUAUGCAUGUAUUUAUAACACUUGGAUAAUGAACUUCUUUCAAUAAAGCGUUUCACAUUCUCUA